AUACGGAAGGUCCGGGCGUUAUCCGGAUUUAUUGGGUUUAAAGGGAGCGCAGGCGGAGAUGCAAGCGUGACGUCAAAUUUCGGGGCUCAACCCCGUCUCGCGUCGCGAACUGCGUCCCUUGGUUGCGGGAAGGGGAGGCGGAACUCGUGGUGUAGCGGUAAAAUGCAUAGAUAUCACGAAGAACUCCGAUCGCGAAGGCAGCCUUCCGGCCCGUCAACGACGCUCACGCUCGAAGGUGCGGGUAUCAAACAGGAUUAGAUACCCUGGUAGUCCGCACAGUAAACGAUGGACACCCGCGGUUUGGCCUAUAUGGCUGAGCCGCCAAGCGAAAGCGUUAAGUGUCCCACCUGGGAAGUACGCCGGCAACGGUGAAACUCAAAGGAAUUGGCGGGG
rnacentral:rRNA from 1 species